rnacentral:lncRNA from 1 species
GUUACUCCGUGUGACUGCGGAAAGAGACUCCCAAACUGUUGAGACCACAGUGGCUGCCUCUGGAGAGAAAGAACAAGUGACCACCACCCAAAACCUAUGCAAAGAGUAAGGAUAGUGAAAGCCCAUCCUGCUGGGUGAAGGCACAUCAUUCAUUCCCACCUCCAGCCCUUCGGACAGCAGCACACACAGCAGGAAUUCAGGACAACAGAGAGGAAGCUUGAAUAGUGGAAUACAGAUUGGACCAGAGAAGAGUCACAGGUGGGAAGGAGGUGCCGGAGAGUUCCGACUCAUCCCCAGCUGGGAUCUGCUGGCCCUAUCUGAGGCCUGGUCUCCAUUGAAACCACUGCUCCCAACAGCGUCAUCUCCAAUAAAGGCUGAUCAUCUUCCAGGCCCAAUACAGCUUUCUUGAGAACAACUUGACCCUCUCGAGGUGUUCAGACCACCUUACCUGAGGGGUCUCAGAAUAACUGGAUGACAACCUCAGAACGAAAUCAGAGAAACCAAC